AUUGAACGCUGGCGGCAGGCCUAACACAUGCAAGUCGAGCGGAGCGGCGGACGGGUGAGUAAUGCCUAGGAAUCUGCCUGGUAGUGGGGGAUAACGUCCGGAAACGGGCGCUAAUACCGAAUACUAUCAGAUGAACAUAGGUCGGAUUAGCUAGUUGGUGGGGUAAAGGCCUACCAAGGCGACGCUCCGUAACUGGUCUGCGAGGGGGAUCAGUCACACUGGAACUGUGACAGGGUCCAUACUCCUACGGUAGGCAGCAGUGGGGAAUAUUGGACAAUGGGCGAAAGCCUGAUCCGGCCAUGCCGCGUGUUGGAAGAAGGUCUUCGGAUUUUAAAGCACUUUAAGUUGGGAGGCGUUACCAACAGAAUAAGCACCGGCUAACUUCGUGCCAGCCGCCGCGGUAAUUC
rnacentral:rRNA from 1 species